AAAAGACUGAGAACAUGAACACCGCACUGGGAAUCAACUUGUCAUGUCAGGACUCGGAGGACGGAAAGUGGAUGGCAAACAACAGACUUGCUCUCUUUGAAGAAUUGUGGGAACGCUGCAAUGCCCCAAGUGUUUGCAACACGCCUCUGAGCUAAGUAUCAAUUAAACAUAACCUCCCUGGAGUUACUACAUCAAGGUAUGAACUGGGAAGAUUAUCCAUGCCGCCUCGCAUCACUGCCUGGGACAGAACAGUCCUGUGUUUGAAAGGUAAAAAUCCCUGUCACUGUGGCGCUUGCAACUGGGAGAGAAAGAAGUAACUCAUCCAGAAGUCUCCAAAACCUGACACAUCCCAUCAGUACCCCACAAAUACGCUAGAAAACCAACAGGAGCGGAGCACUUCAGCAGCUCUGAGGCUUCCUGUGUUUGUAAGGAUUUGCUGGAUGCCCUUACACAGGUCCACUGCAGUCUCAUGAGCACGUUAAAAUGUAUUUUAGACACCUCUCUAUGGUGCUCAGAUACCAGGAAAAUUCCUCUUGGAUCCUUCCAGAGUCUUGGCAUUCCAAGCAGCAGAAAACAAAUGCCCUGCGACAGACUGAGGGAACUUUAUCCACCGCAGCAUCCUUUUCCAUAAAUGUAUCUUCUCCCCGCGUGACACGACCCGCAGAGGAAGCCAGACGCACCUGAGGGAAGCUGCCUUGGUGCAGGAGGUUUGCCAAAACACGAGCGUUGCCCCAGCAGCGUGGGAUUCUUCACUUCUUACAGUGGCUGAACGUUCAAGAAACCUAACAGAAAUACAAAUAAGGAAAAAUACAACCAAACCUCCAUUAAAGAAGUGACAAGGUCCAAAAUGCAAACUGAACAAGAUUUGCUUAUUCUGUGCAAGAGAAACCUCUCGCUGGUACAACACUUGUGUGGCUUUGAUGCCGAAAAUAGGGAAGUAGCCUUGAAAUAAACUUUUCAUAUUAAACCGGCUUUCUUUAGUUGAUCAAUAUUGGCAAAAAGGUCUUAUGACAACCACAGUUUUAAAAUUUAAUAACAUACAACAAUGCAUAGUGUAUCCAACUUCAAAGUACAUUGUAAACACACUCUGGAAAGGCACAGACUUUGCUUUUCUUGGGGUUUUUUGUUUUGUUUUGUGGGGGGUUUUUUGUGUGUCUUUUUUUCUUAUUUAAUUCUACACUGCAAAAAUUUACCCCUAAAAGGAUUAGCUAAAAUGGAGUUGAGAUUCCUCACCACUUAGUUUAGUUCUUUAAAUGUAUGGACGCUGAUGUUUACCUCUUUUUGGUAGAGAGAGAUCUUUCUUCUUCGGCUGAUUCUUUUUCACACCCCUGGUCCCUGCCCUGCCCAGGCAGCUCUACAGAAACUAAAGAAUCUACAAACAGUUGCUAAAGUUGAAUGUGGAUCCCUUCCAGCGCAGAAAAACCAUUAAAUUGAACUGGUUUUGUUUACUACAGCUGUACCCAAGGUCAAGAUGCUCCAGAAAACGGAUAUUUCAGUCACAGACGCAGUUUAAAAAAGAUUAGAAAUAAUUAAUACAAUUUUACGUUUGGUAACUGUUUAAAUUCCAUUGGCUGACAAUGAUGUGGAGAACUGAAAGUUUGAUGGGGCAACAGCAGGUUUCCCCUUGGCUUCUUUACUUCGCUCCUUCCCU